CCUUGCCAACAAUGCCCCCAGUGUGCAAGAGCGACGCUGAUCCAGGAGCAGUUUUACCCAUAAAGGGAAGAAGGAUCAGCCUUCAAGAAACAGUAAUGUAGGCAGAGGAAGAGGAGGGAGGAUUGCGUCAGAAUCAGCCUCCUCUGACUCAUCAGCCCUGCUCUCUCCCUGACAAACACACACUCCCCCCUCUGUCUCCCGCUCUCUGUAUCCAUGUUUGACUGCGUAAUCUUGUCACAUGAGAGCAAUCAGUCCAGAAACAGUUGCCAGGGAAGCUUUUUCCUUCCUUACAAAAAGACAGACUCAGGGAUCUUAGAUGUUGUUAACUUGAUUGCACUACAAUAAACGCUUUCUGGGUGCC